CGCGUAGGUGGUUUGGUCAGUCAGAUGUGAAAGCCCUGGGCUUAACCUGGGAAUUGCAUUUGAUACUGCCAGACUAGAGUAUGGUAGAGGGAAGUGGAAUUCCGGGUGUAGCGGUGAAAUGCGUAGAUACCCGGAGGAACAUCAGUGGCGAAGGCGGCUUCCUGGACCAAUACUGACACUGAGGUGCGAAAGCGUGGGUAGCAAACA
rnacentral:rRNA from 1 species